rnacentral:lncRNA from 1 species
ACUGAAUAAAAUAAAUGUAAAUUUGUUUCAUCCCAGGCCAUCUCUCGGUGCAAUUAAGGUUCAAGAUCGAAUAACUAAAGAUAGAAGUCGAUCGCUCCGGUUAUUGAGGUGUUGUUUCUCUUCAACAAUCAGGACUUAGUGUUAGUAAAUGGUGAAUGAAAAUUAUACUCAAUCUAGGCGAUAUAUCACUAAGCAUGUUAACUGCAUGUGAAUUGCUCACUAGACCUUCAUAUCGUGUGGCAACUAAGUCCUCUUGAGUACAAGUUUUCUUACUACUUGUCCAAGUGCAAGUGAAAUGGUAGGUUUACUUGGGUGAUCCCGGGUCGAACAUAAGGAAUUGAUUCAAGAUAUUAAUUUUAGGUAUUACUUAUUAUCUAGGCAGUAUAAAAGAAUUAAAGAAUAACGAAUGGUAUAAAAGAAAUACAAGAACAAACUACCACUAGAUAUCUACGCUUAGAGAUUCUAUAAAAGGGAAUAUGGAUGACAAAAUAGAAAUGGGAACUAACUUGUAUGCAAGAAAGAGCAAAGGAAUGUCUUUGCGUUAUAAUGCGAUUAAGUAACACGACAACUUUAAUAGGAUAUAUCUCGCUCAACUAACUUAUAAUUAAGAAGUGCUCCUCUCAGAGUCAUUAAACGUCACAUAUGGUCACCUCUCAGAAUCCAUAUGAUUAAGUGUGCUUAGGAGAGAUAUAUCUAGAAGAUUUCACUUAUAAAACGUAUAGAGCAUCGCAAUUAAGGACAACAACCUCUCGGUGCCUAAUGUUCACACUUGUUCAUCUCUCGGUAUACAAAUGAUGGAAGUUAUCUCACUAAGGUGGAGUUUGUCGCGAAACUCCCCCUUGCACGUAUUAGCCUUAUCCUUGCUACUUGCCCUCUCGAGUAGUUGGCGAUUGACGUUGGCUAAGCGAUGAGCAUAGCCUAACUAAUGCGACGAGAAUUAUAAACUAAACUUCUUAUCAAUAACUUAUCGCUAAAUUAA